GGGGCCGGAGAGGAGAGAGGAAGAGGAAGGAACGCGCCUGGCGUCACUGAGGGUGUCACCCGGGACCGCGGCUCAGGAACCCCAGACGCACGGGCCUUGUGCUGUCGCUGCCGUGGCACCCCUUCUAGAAGAAAAUCUAGGUAUCUUGCACCAAGAAGUGGAAAAUAAAGAAGAGAAAUGAGAACCAUGUUUGUAUUGGCUGUCUAUAAAAUAAGAGGGAGAAGUUAAGUGAAGUUUUCCAACCCACAGCUGGUAAGUAUCAGAGUAAGGAUUGGAGCCAGGCAGAGUGGUUCCAGAGCCCACACAUUUGUCCACAGUACUAUGCUGCUUUUUUAAAAAGUCUUUCUAUUAUUAUUGUUCGCAUUUGGAGAACAUUAUCCUAUCAAUGAUCUUUUUCAAAGGGGUGUUUUUAUGGAUCAUUCAUUUAUUCACUUAAUUAGAGAAAUGAUUUCGUGUGUGCCUACUUUGUGCUGGCACUGUGAGGGUUUAGCAGUGAAGAAAUACAUGACUUCUACCCUCACACAAUUUCAUUUAGCUUACAAUUAGGUAAGAUAAUAUAAAUUAUAUAGCUUAGGAUUACAAUUGGCUUUAUAUGAUUUUAAAAAUACAAAUUAAGAGUGAUUUAAACAUGAUAGAAAUUGAUUUUUCUUUUCCAUGAAUAGAGUCUGGAGGUAGGUUGCUUAGGGCUGGUAAGAAAACUCCACCAUCAUCAGUGACCCAGGCUGCUUCUAUGUUGCUGCUCUGCCAUCCGCAUGCUGCUUGUGGUUCAGAGCAUCUGGUCUAAGCUCCAAGCAUCCUGUCUGCUUUGCAGCCAACAAAAAGGAGGGAAAGGGAAGAAGAGCACUUCUCUUAAGGAGACUUGCUGUAUGUUCCACUCACCUCACUCAGAUCUCAUUUGUCAGAACUCAGCUACCUGGCUACAACUAACUGCAGAGGAGGCUGGGGAAUGUAGUCUGUUAGUUCGGUGGCUAUACGCUCAACUAAAACCCAGAGUUCUACUUCUGUUCCCAAGGCAAAGGAGAACUGUACACGGGAGGCAAUUAGCAAACCUCUACAUGUAUGGAAACAUUUUCUAAACUGCAGAGACCUUUAGGAAAUUAAAGAUCUAUUAGAGUGGGAUAAUGGCUGCAUUUAUUUGAUAUUACAUCUAUUGUCUAAUGGUUUUCAGUCUUCCCUUGUAGUAAUUAUUUUUCAUUUAGAAUCUAGAGUUGUCAUUUGAUUUCUUCAGCAACUCCAGUAUCCCUGAACUUAUGCUCAUCUUUUUGCUGUGCUUUCGGAAAAAGAAAGCUAGAUGACUUCAUAUGUAUUUUAGCAUAUAUAUUUGGGGGGAGCCCAAACCUGGGAGUGAACCAG
ensembl:lncRNA SEC24B-AS1 SEC24B antisense RNA 1